GAUUCUUCAUUUGUUUUAGGCUCGAAUUUUUCUGUAUUGAAUGUGAAACUUUCUGCGAUUUCUCUUCUGGUUUCGAAGUUAGUUUCAAAAAAUAUAUCUUGAUUAAACAGCCUUGAUCCGCAACCAACGACCCAGUUCCAUCGUGAGCCGAGUUUAAUCCUUUCUAUUCGUUCACGAGGAAACGCAACACCGUUUACUACGAUUAAUCGUUCGAGAAGAUCUCGUUACACCGAUUGAUGAAAGGCUUUGAUAAUCGAUACCCGUUCAAUUAUUUAAGCGACCACUAUUUCCACAACUGGAAUAGAAAGGAAAUAACAACGAGAAUCCACUUUCACCUACUUUUUUUCUAUUUUUGUGUUUCGUGCAUCGAUACCAUUACCACGGAUUCAUUAGUGUUUUUCAUCGGUUGUUUCCACUCGCUUGUUCCGUAGUAAAGGGAAGAUGAUUAAUAUCCUUUCAUGAUAUAUUUUAAAAGUCGACUUCCUAUUACGUAUUUAUCAAUCUUGAAUACGGCAAUUUUAAUAUACGGAGUGGGUUGUGUAAUACGAUUAUCUGAAUUAUUUUUUUUCAGAUAAUAAAAUUAUAUUAUAUUUUAAUUUUAAU
rnacentral:lncRNA from 1 species